AUUGAACGCUGGCGGCAGGCUUAACACAUGCAAGUCGAGCGGAGAGAGGUAGCUUGCUACUGAUCUUAGCGGCGGACGGGUGAGUAAUGCUUAGGAAUCUGCCUAUUAGUGGGGGACAACAUUUCGAAAGGAAUGCUAAUACCGCAUACGUCCUACGGGAGAAAGCAGGGGAUCUUCGGACCUUGCGCUAAUAGAUGAGCCUAAGUCGGAUUAGCUAGUUGGUGGGGUAAAGGCCUACCAAGGCGACGAUCUGUAGCGGGUCUGAGAGGAUGAUCCGCCACACUGGGACUGAGACACGGCCCAGACUCCUACGGGAGGCAGCAGUGGGGAAUAUUGGACAAUGGGGGGAACCCUGAUCCAGCCAUGCCGCGUGUGUGAAGAAGGCCUUAUGGUUGUAAAGCACUUUAAGCGAGGAGGAGGCUACUCUAGUUAAUACCUAGGGAUAGUGGACGUUACUCGCAGAAUAAGCACCGGCUAACUCUGUGCCAGCCGCCGCUGUAACAC
rnacentral:rRNA from 1 species